rnacentral:rRNA from 1 species
GACAGAGGGUGCAAACGUUGCUCGGAAUUACUGGGCGUAAAGCGCGUGUAGGCGGACCACCAAGUCGGACGUGAAAGCCCUGAGCUCAACUCAGGAACUGCAUCCGAAACUGGCGGUCUGGAGUAGUGGAGAGGAAAGCAGAAUUCCUGGUGUAGAGGUGAAAUUCGUAGAUAUCAGGAGGAACACCGGUGGCGAAGGCGGCUUUCUGGACACUUACUGACGCUGAGACGCGAAAGCGUGGGGAGCAAACCGG